rnacentral:rRNA from 1 species
UACAGAGGGGGCAAGCGUUGUUCGGAAUUACUGGGCGUAAAGGGCGCGUAGGCGGCCUGUUAAGUCGAACGUGAAAUCCCCGGGCUCAACCGGGGAACUGCGUCUGAUACUGGGUGGCUUGAAUUCGGGAGAGGGAUGCGGAAUUCCAGGUGUAGCGGUGAAAUGCGUAGAUAUCUGGAGGAACACCGGUGGCGAAGGCGGCAUCCUGGACCGAGAUUGACGCUGAGGCGCGAAAGCCAGGGGAGCAAACGGG